CCGGCGAUGUCCGAAUGGGGAAACCCAGUGCAAUUCGUUGCACUAUCGUUAACUGAAUACAUAGGUUAACGAGGCGAACCGGGGGAACUGAAACAUCUAAGUACCCCGAGGAAAAGAAAUCAACCGAGAUUCCCCCAGUAGCGGCGAGCGAACGGGGAGCAGCCCAGAGUCUGAAUCAGCUUGUGUGUUAGUGGAACGGUCUGGAAAGUCCGACGGUACAGGGUGAUAGUCCCGUACACCAAAAUGCACAGGCUGUGAACUCGAAGAGUAGGGCGGGACACGUGGUAUCCUGUCUGAAUAUGGGGGGACCAUCCUCCAAGGCUAAAUACUCCUGACUGACCGAUAGUGAACCAGUACCGUGAGGGAAAGGCGAAAAGAACCCCGGCGAGGGGAGUGAAAAAGAACCUGAAACCGUGUACGUACAAGCAGUGGGAGCACCUUCGGGUGUGACUGCGUACCUUUUGUAUAAUGGGUCAGCGACUUAUAUUCUGUAGCAAGGUUAACCGUAUAGGGGAGCCGCAGGGAAACCGAGUCUUAACUGGGCGUUAAGUUGCAGGGUAUAGACCCGAAACCCGGUGAUCUAGCCAUGGGCAGGUUGAAGGUUGGGUAACACUAACUGGAGGACCGAACCGACUAAUGUUGAAAAAUUAGCGGAUGACUUGUGGCUGGGGGUGAAAGGCCAAUCAAACCGGGAGAUAGCUGGUUCUCCCCGAAAGCUAUUUAGGUAGCGCCU
rnacentral:rRNA from 1 species